AUUGAACGCUGGCGGCAUGCUUUACACAUGCAAGUCGAACGGUAACAGGUUAAGCUGACGAGUGGCGAACGGGUGAGUAAUGCAUCGGAACGUGCCCGAUCGUGGGGGAUAACGCAGCGAAAGCUGCGCUAAUACCGCAUACGAUCUGAGGAUGAAAGCGGGGGACCGUAAGGCCUCGCGCGAUCGGAGCGGCCGAUGUCAGAUUAGAUAGUUGGUGGGGUAAAGGCCCACCAAGCCGACGAUCUGUAGCUGGUCUGAGAGGACGACCAGCCACACUGGGACUGGGACACGGCCCAGACUCCUACGGGAGGCAGCAGUGGGGAAUUUUGGACAAUGGGCGAAAGCCUGAUCCAGCAAUGCCGCGUGCAGGAAGAAGGCUUUCGGGUUGUAAACUGCUUUUGUACGGAGCGAAAAGGUCCUUUCUAAUACAAGGGGCUCAUGACGGUACCGUAAGAAUAAGCACCGGCUAACUACGUGCCAGCCGCCGCCGUAA
rnacentral:rRNA from 1 species